rnacentral:rRNA from 1 species
UACGGAGGGUGCAAGCGUUAUCCGGAUUCACUGGGUUUAAAGGGUGCGUAGGUGGGGCUGUAAGUCAGUGGUGAAAUCUCCAAGCUUAACUUGGAAACUGCCGUUGAUACUAUAGCUCUUGAAUGUUGUGGAGGUGAGCGGAAUAUGUCAUGUAGCGGUGAAAUGCUUAGAUAUCUGGAGGAAUACCGGUGGCGAAGGCGGCAUCCUGGACCGACAUUGACGCUGAGUGAGCGAAAGCUAGGGGAGCAAACGGG